rnacentral:rRNA from 1 species
AUGGGGCUGCGCCGGAGUGGCGACUGCUCGGCCUUCCUGGACGAGCUCCGGCUCAGCGCCGGUGUUUGCCCCGCCGUCUUCUGUCCCCCUCCAGCAUUCUCAUUGGCCGCGGUCACCCUCGCAGGCGAGCUUGAUCGCGGAGACGCGCACCUCUUCCCGGACGCGGCCGCGGGCGACGGUGCGCGCCCUUUCUCCCUCGCCGGAACGGAGACCAUCUUCCCCGGCUGCUGUCUGGCGGCGCCGGAGCCCGCCGAGGUCGCAGAGGGCGCGCCGCCCUCGCCACGCCGUCCGGGCGAUCGGCUCGACCUGCGGCUCCCGCUGCCGGUCCUCUCCCGGCUCCCGGAGCGCUUCCUCUGCGGCGAGCCCCGGUGGGGCGACGGCCUCGACACGGGGACCCCGUUUCUCUCCCAGUCGCCCUCCUCGUCCGCGCCACCGGCCCCGGACGGAUCAAAGUCGGAGCUCCUCUUGGAGCGGUGGCCGCCCCUCGUCUCGCUCCCGGACGAACUCCGGCUGAGUCGCCCGCACUGGAUGAGGAUGGCGUCCACCUCCUCCUUGGUGCAGCUGGACGUGCGCACCGGCAUCGGCCCCUUGGCCACCACCACCACCGGCCUCGCCUCCUCCUUCUUCUCCCCCUCCUCCCCGCCCGCAGCCGCCUUGUUAGCCUUCACGACGAUCGGCGCCGCCUUCUUGGCGGCCGCGGCGGACUCGUCCGCGUUGGACGCCCUCCUCGGCUGCGGCGCCUUCUUGGCCUUCUCAUCGCCGGCGACCACCGCGGCUGCGGCGACCUUGGUGGUGGCCGCAGCCGCGGUCGGCUGCGGCGGCGGCGGCUUGCCCUGCUGCUUCUUGCUGAAACAGAGCCCCAUGGCGACUCAGUCGACGGAUGGUUUGGUGAGCUCCGGGUGCAAGCAAUGGAAAGUCUGGGGUUGGAAGGCGUGGCGCUGGUAUUUAUGCAGAGCUUCGGGGGGGAGUGUGAGGGGGGAUUAA